GAAUGGGGAAACCCAGUGUGACUCGUCACACUAUCAUUAACUGAAUCCAUAGGUUAAUGAGGCGAACCGGGGGAACUGAAACAUCUAAGUACCCCGAGGAAAAGAAAUCAACCGAGAUUCCCCCAGUAGCGGCGAGCGAACGGGGAGGAGCCCAGAGCCUGAAUCAGCAUGUGUGUUAGUGGAAGCGUCUGGAAAGGCGCGCGAUACAGGGUGACAGCCCCGUACACAAAAGCGCAUGUGCUGUGAGCUCGAUGAGUAGGGCGGGACACGUGGUAUCCUGUCUGAAUAUGGGGGGACCAUCCUCCAAGGCUAAAUACUCCUGACUGACCGAUAGUGAACCAGUACCGUGAGGGAAAGGCGAAAAGAACCCCGGCGAGGGGAGUGAAAAAGAACCUGAAACCG
rnacentral:rRNA from 1 species